GUGAAAAGAGGGAGAGUCAGGAAAAGCACCCCUGGCUCCUCCCUGUCCUGCCCAGACCACUCGCAGAGGAUACCCUGACAUUUGGACUUGACAGGAGGCUUUCACACCAGCCUUGAGGGGAGGAGAGAUAGGAAGGGCAUAGCUCAGGGGCAUGGCAUCUGGGGGGGCAGACCUGGGGCUGGUACCCAGGUCUUCCUUCUAGGUUCCACUCCCUAAACAAGCUAUAGUAUAUCCUCCCUCUUAACCACAAGCACCCCUAAGACCUGAAUCAACGUUCCAUUUCAAAAAGAGCAGACGCACCCUGGUGGGGUGAGGUAGGGUGUGGUGGGGAAUUUGGACUUGGAUAAACUUCUUCGCCUGUGAGGCCAAGUUCAGAGUCGGAGGCCAGGUUGAGGAUGGGGCUCUCUUAGAAAGGGCGGGUCCUGCCUAAUCGGCAAGAACAGGGUCACCCUGUCCCUGACCCCCAGGUUGGGGACGCCAGGAGGUGGUUGGGGAGGGAGGAGGUACAGCCCUGGACUGAGCCACGUGAUCCUGUCCCCCUGCCCUCCCAGGGAGAAGCCCACCCGGCAUGAAUCCCACCACCACCGUCACCACGCAGACCAUUCUCGGACACUGCCUUCUCUUUGUCUAUUUUCCCCAACUGUAGGGUAAGCCUGAAGUCCUGAGUUUGGAUUGUCUGCAGCACCAGCUGUGUGACCGUGAGCCAACCUCUCUCUGAAGCCCACCUACCGAAGAAGGCUUCUCUGGCAUCCAGAGAGGGGGUGUCUGUGAGAGGCUAGGAUCCAUGCCUCUCAGAUUCUGCUUGGGACUGCAGAAGGUGCUGAGAUUUCAGCAAGAAUCUGGUGAUUUGCUGGAUACGCGUGGGUGUGAAGCCCAGCAGGCUCGCUCAGUCAUGGGCAUCAUCAGUAAACAAGGGCCAGGCAGAUCCUAGCCUCAUGGAGCUCACAAUCAAGAUAUGGGAGACAGACAAUGAACAAAUGACUGAGAGAGACUAUUCAAAGAUAUAGACAAUCCAACCCGGUGUGGGGAUGAGAUGCACGGUCUGCAUAAAGGCCAGGUAAGGGGCCUGUGAGAUCUGAAGGACAGAAGUCACAGGGCGAAGAUCUUCAGGAGAGCGAGGUGCCCUCAUGCUGGAACCGACUAUGUGGAACCAACUGUAGGAAUUCUUAUUAGCAUGUUUAUUACUAUCUUUGUUUUGGUACCGGCUCCCCAUUUCCAGCUCUUUACGCUGCAGCUUGUAAACACAGAGGUUGCUGGAUGCGGGGGACCGCGCCCUGUGAAAGACACCAGCCCUGGUGGGGGGCGCUGCAA
ensembl:lncRNA